GUAUUGGCCUAUCUUCAAAAGACUAUUAAGCCACGCUCUGGGAUACUAAAGUGCAAUACGUGAAUGUUUCAUCACUGAAUCGUUAUAGACCAAACACAGACUGAAGUACAACAUGAAUGUGUGUGAAGCAGAGCGCCUGCGAUACACUGAUCCUUCACAAGAGGCUGCUGUCUCUCCGCCAAACGCUCCGAGUCUCCCAUAGGAUCAUGGAAAAUCUGGCCUUGUCUUAAGAAACAGUGAGGAAGUAGAAGGAAGUGGAGGAAGCUUUAACGGAGGCCGGAUUGCCUGUGUGGACCCCAGCUUGCCAAACGUAGGGGCUCGUGGACUGCCCCCUUCUCCUCCACAUUUCUAGGAGGAGGUGCCUUCAAA